rnacentral:tRNA from 1 species
GGUAAAAUGGCUGAGUGCCAGGCGGUGGUUUGUAGCUCCACAAACAGAGGUUAGACUCCUCUUUUUACCA